rnacentral:lncRNA from 1 species
AUGAGGAAAAUGGGGGGAAAAGGGGGGAAAAUGGGGGAAAUGGUGAAAAAUGGGGAAAAUGUGGAAAAAAGGGGAAAAAAUUGGCAAAAUGGGGAAAAUUGGGGAGAAAUGGGAAAAAAUGAGGGAAAUGGGGAAAAAUGGGGGGAAAUGGGAAAGUUGGGGGAAAAAUGGGGGGAAAUAGGGAAAAAAUGGGUGAAAAUAGGGAAAAAAUGGGGAAAAUGUGGGAAAAAAGGAGGGAAAAUUUGGAAAAAUGGGGAAAAAAUGAGGAAAAAAAGGGGGAAAUGGGAAAAAAUGGGGAAAAAAGAGGAAAAAAUGGGGAAAAUGGGAAAAAAUGGGGGAAAAAGAGGAAAAAACGGAAUUUUGUCUGGGCCCCGCAGCGCGGCCGCGAUGGCGCCGAUGGCGACGGGAGCAGCGGCGCUGACGGAGCGGGAGAGGUUCGAGUACGAUUACGACUCUCUGCGCCUCGGGGGUCUCGUCGUGGCCGGGAUCUUCUUCGUGCUCGGGAUCCUCCUCAUCCUCAGACGGGGGAGCCGGACGAGUCCGAGGGGCCCCUGCGGCAAUCGAUGCGGCGUGAGCAGCCCCAAAAU